AUUUUAGAAAACUAAACGAAAAAAAAAAACAAAAAAGCAAAAAAAAAAUUGCUCACAUCCUCACCUCCGAUUCUCUCCUCCCAAACCGCAGUUCACCCCGCCGAUCUCGCCGCCCGCCGUCUCCAGUAUCUCGUUCUUGCAAUCGGUUUGUUCUCCUCUCUCCUCCGCCAUUGAUGAAACUAAGAGAUUCUUUCUUAGUUUCUCAAUCUUCCGCCAUGGAUAUCAACGACAACCACGCUCCGACGACAAAGACGCUCUCUCAGUUAUCAGAGGUUCUGCAUCGACGAUUCGAAGUUUCUAAUAAUUGUAUAGUUUUCUUCAUCCUUUGUCCUUUUUCUCGUUUGAUUUGAUUUCUCUUCGAAAAGCAAGAAUUUUAUUAUCUAAGAUCUCUUGUUGAUACGCUUAGAUGAGUGUAGUGGGAUUCGAUGUUGGGAACGAGAACUGUCAAUUCCGUAAUCAUGAGUUCUUAUGGCAAAUUCUACCUCAAAAUUCAUACUAGUUGAUUAGUUUGAAGUUAUUGGGGAAUAUAAGUUGAUUAGUUUACCCUUUUAUUGUUGUAUCUGUUUUUUCUUAAGACAAUGAUAACAGCGAUGGAAGUGGCACUAGAAUGGGAGAGAACUAGCAAAUUUGUGAUGCAUACCAAGAUGAGCCUGUAGAUGGUCAUUCCAUUGAUGUUGAGGCCAGUCUUGAUCUUAUGGGGACAAUGGAACAAGACCUUCAAAAGGAGGUAGGAAAUGAAGAUUUAGCCAUGAAUCAUGAUUGAUGACCAAGAGAAGGAUCUUGAGAAAGAAACUGAGAUGGGAACCAAGGAAAAAGAUGGUGAUGAGGAGGCUAAAUCUGAGAAGCCUAAGAAGAAAAAAAGAUCAAAGAAAGGCAAGACUCCGGCUAAAGUAGAUGUUCUAGUUGCUAACAACGUUGUACUUUGGUUAUUUUAAUUUCAAAGUAAAUAUAUGAUAUUAUUGAUAACCAUUUUUACUUACAGAUCUAUAUGUUUUACAUGCAAAGUUAUUCAAUGAUUUGGAAAAUAAAACAUGUAUUAGUAUUUGUCAAAUUUAUAAAACUAGGUUCGACUAGGUACAACUAAGAACAUAUCUGUAUUUGAAUUC